rnacentral:rRNA from 1 species
AACGAACGCUGGCGGCAUGCCUAACACAUGCAAGUCGAACGAAGCCUUCGGGCUUAGUGGCGCACGGGUGCGUAACGCGUGGGAAUCUGCCCUUUAGUUCGGAAUAACAGUUGGAAACGACUGCUAAUACCGGAUGAUGACGAAAGUCCAAAGAUUUAUCGCCAGAGGAUGAGCCCGCGUAGGAUUAGCUAGUUGGUGUGGUAAAGGCGCACCAAGGCGACGAUCCUUAGCUGGUCUGAGAGGAUGAUCAGCCACACUGGGACUGAGACACGGCCCAGACUCCUACGGGAGGCAGCAGUGGGGAAUAUUGGACAAUGGGCGAAAGCCUGAUCCAGCAAUGCCGCGUGAGUGGUGAAGGCCCUAGGGUUGUAAAGCUCUUUUACCCGGGAUGAUAAUGACAGUACCGGGAGAAUAAGCCCCGGCUAACUCCGUGCCAGCAGCCGCCGUAA